UCCUGCAGUUUCUGAAGUCAUUGGCAUGGAGGAAUAGGCUGUCUCGACACUUAAACAACAGUUGUGUAAGGAGUUCCAUAGUAGCAAGAGUUUCCAUUGUGGGAGUCAGGUGAUGAGAGAAAUAACUGUGAUGCCGGUCAUCCUCAGUUACUUCCACUUGAUUUCUUGGCACUUCUGGAAGAAUAAAAAGAACUUGAGAAGAUUAAAAGUACUGCAGACCCCAGAGAGGAGGACAAUCAAGGAGGAAAGCCAACUGCACUGGAGUUGAGGACUUUAAGGCCUGCCUGGAUGUGAUUACUUCAGAGUGGGCCAGAAGGAGUAUUGGUACAUGGGCCCCAAAUGUAACCACCUUUGGAACACUAGAUUUGAUUUUUAGUAAUUAUUCUUCCUGCAGUAGCACUGGUUAUCAUAGUUGUAAUAUUUUACUCUUUCUACUACUGUAAAAGUGAAAAAGCUGGGAUGACUGGGUUGGACAAAUUCCAAAAGGUGGACUGAGAAGACAAGAUUGUGAUGAUGUCCCAACCCCAAGUCAAUUAGAGAAUUAGAGGUAUGCUGCUGUUUUUCUAUAUUUUUUGCUCAUUUUCACUUUAUGCUCUGGUUUGGAGAUUUAAGAAUGCCUUUGUAGCUUUGCCAGUGGCAGAGCAACUGACAAAGAUCUAGUAAAUGGCUAAGCUUUUGCUUGGAUUAUUCACAUACAUUUUGU
rnacentral:lncRNA from 1 species